rnacentral:rRNA from 1 species
UACGUAGGGCGCAAGCGUUGUCCGGAAUUAUUGGGCGUAAAGAGCUCGUAGGCGGUUUGUCGCGCCUGCUGUGAAAACCUCAGGCUCAACCUGGGGCUUGCAGUGGGUACGGGCAGACUAGAGUGCGGUAGGGGAGAUUGGAAUUCCUGGUGUAGCGGUGGAAUGCGCAGAUAUCAGGAGGAACACCGGUGGCGAAGGCGGGUCUCUGGGCCGAUACUGACGCUGAGGAGCGAAAGCGUGGGGAGCGAACAGG